ensembl:lncRNA
GACAAUAUAUAGCUAAUAGCAAAAAUUUAUCUAUUUAGCAAUUCCUAACUUGCUAAAAUGUUAUUAUUCUGGACCUCUAAGGCGUCCUCAGAUCCCAGUCUGAGAACCACGGCUGUAAAGGAGCUGGCAGCUGAUGCUGACUUUCUUCAUUUUCCCCCAAACAAACAAGAAACAUGACUGUGAAUGCAACAAUUGCUUAAAGCACAUGUGAAUCUGCUAAUAUUAAACAAAUGAUAGAUUAUCAAAAAAAAAAUUGCAUUAAUAUGAUUUUAAAUCUAGACCAAAAAAAAAAAAAAAAACUGAAUGAAAAACAUUAUUUUAUGUAUUUAUUUAUUGAAGUGAACCAUGUUUGUUUUUCAUGGAAAAAAAAACCUGGUGUUAGAUUUGAUCUGACCGAUAAAGACUUUGGAAGGACGACAGUUUGGAAUGAAAAAAAAUUAAUUAUCCUCAUUUUUUUUUCAGUGAAACUGUACAUUUAUACAUAUUUUUGCAAUUUAGAACACUUUGGGUCUCCCCAGAGGUUUCUGAUAGUCGAAUGUAUUCUUUUUUCUUUUAUGUGAACUUUCAACUUAUGUUUGCAUCCAUUAAAUAAAUAAUUAAACGCGGGCAUCUGCAAACGCUCUUCUUCAGAUUUCCCUAUCUGACUGGGAUUCGGAUGAAGAACGUGUCUGUUUCCUGUCGACCGUUCAUUUGAGAGCCUGCCUCCGAGUGGCUGUAAGCGCUCUUUUGAUUGUACAAGACGUUUGCUCGGCUGUUCUGCUUCAUGUCAGAGUGUUUCACUAAUGGUCCUGCUGUCAUGUCUAAAGUGUCGACUAUUCUUUCUUGGGUUAUGCCAGAGGGGCUGUGAAAAUGGUACGCUAAAAAACAAAACAAAAACAAAAAAACCUCAUCAUCUCCACAUUAGCCGGCCCCUCUUUUCUUGUGAGGGAGAAAUGUGAAGCUGCUUUAAAAAAACAAAAAAACAAAACAACUGGAAAAUGGAAGCUUUGUGGGAUCAGAGCAUUUUUUUGUGUACCUGCUGAGCUUUUAUGUGUCACAGGGAAGUAAACAUGAACUGCAUUGUUGUCCACUGUCCUCUUUGAUGUGCACAUUAUGUUUUGGGGGGUUUUUCUGUGAACUGAGAAGAAUGAGAGAGUUUGGGAUUUUUUUUGUAAUUUUAUUUUAUUCUGUGAAUACUUGGAAGAUUUUGGGUGGGUGAUACAGCUCUGAAGAAAUGGCUAGUGACAAUCAGAGCUAGGGGCCCCAAAGCUUUGUAAUGAUGGUUGAUGAGAGGGAUGAAUAAAGUUUGAAUGAUUUCAAUUCA